ACGGCUCAGUAACACGUAGUCAACAUGCCCAGGGGACGUGGAUAACCUCGGGAAACUGAGGAUAAACCGCGAUAGGCCAAGGUUUCUGGAAUGGACAAUGGCUGAAACCUAUAUGGCCCCUGGAUUGGACUGCGGCCGAUCAGGCUGUUGGUGAGGUAAUGGCCCACCAAACCUGUAACCGGUACGGGCUCUGAGAGGAGGAGCCCGGAGAUGGGCACUGAGACAAGGGCCCAGGCCCUAUGGGGCGCAGCAGGCGCGAAACCUCUGCAAUAGGCGAAAGCUUGACAGGGUUACUCUGAGUGAUGCCCGCUAAGGGCAUCUUUUGGUACCUCUAAAAAUGGUGCAGAAUAAGGGGUGGGCAAGUCUGGUGUCAGCCGCCGCGGUAAUACCAGCACCCCGAGUGGUCGGGACGAUUAUUGGGCCUAAAGCAUCCGUAGCCGGUCUUGCAAGUCUUCCGUUAAAUCCAGCUGCUUAACAGAUGGGCUGCGGAGGAUACUACAAGGCUAGGAGGCGGGAGAGGCAAGCGGUACUCAGUGGGUAGGGGUAAAAUCCUCUGAUCCAUUGAAGACCACCAGUGGCGAAGGCGGCUUGCCAGAACGCGCUCGACGGUGAGGGAUGAAAGCUGGGGGAGCAAACCGGAUUAGAUACCCGGGUAGUCCCAGCUGUAAACGAUGCAGACUCGGUGAUGGGUUGGCUUCGCGCCAACCCAGUGCCGCAGGGAAGCCGUUAAGUCUGCCGCCUGGGGAGUACGGUCGCAAGACUGAAACUUAAAGGAAUUGGCGGGGGAGCAC
rnacentral:rRNA from 1 species